GACGAACGCUGGCGGCGUGCUUAACACAUGCAAGUCGAACGGGUCUGCCCUGUUUUUUGCGGGGUGGGUCAGUGGCGAACGGGUGAGUAACCCGUUAGUAACCUGCCCCUCACUUCUGGAUAACCGCUUGAAAGGGUGGCUAAUACGGGGUGUUCUUGCUGUGCCGCAUGGUUUGGCUGGGAAAGAUUCCCUUUUGUGGUGUUUUGGUUGGGGAUGGGCUCGCGGCCUAUCAGCUUGUUGGUGGUGUGAUGGCCUGCCAAGGCUUUGACGGGUAGCCGGCCUGGGAGGGUGGGCGGUAAGACAGGGACGGAGAAACGGACAAGACUGCUGCGGGAGGCAGCAGGGGGGGGUAUUGAACAAUGGGAGGAAGAAUGAUGCAGCGACGUCGCGUGAGGGAUGGAGGCCUGCGGGUUGUGAACCUCUUUCGCCGGUGAAGAAGGUCCUGCUAUUGGGGGGGGGGUUGACGGUAGCCGGGUUAUGAAGCGCCGGCUAACUACGUG
rnacentral:rRNA from 1 species